GACGGGGGCCCGCACAAGCGGUGGAGCAUGUGGUUUAAUUCGACGCAACGCGAAGAACCUUACCAGGGCUUGACAUCCCCUGACCGCGUAUGAAAGUACGUUUUCACCCUCGGGGUGACAGGGAGACAGGUGGUGCAUGGUUGUCGUCAGCUCGUGUCGUGAGAUGUUGGGUUAAGUCCCGCAACGAGCGCAACCCUCGACCUUAGUUGCCAGCAUUCAGUUGGGCACUCUAAGGUGACUGCCGGCUAAAAGUCGGAGGAAGGUGGGGAUGACGUCAAAUCAUCAUGCCCCUUAUGACCUGGGCUACACACGUGCUACAAUGGGCGGUACAAAGGGUCGCGAACCCGCGAGGGGGAGCCAAUCCCAAAAAGCCGCUCUCAGUUCGGAUUGCAGGCUGCAACUCGCCUGCAUGAAGCCGGAAUCGCUAGUAAUCGCGGAUCAGCAUGCCGCGGUGAAUACGUUCCCGGGCCUU
rnacentral:rRNA from 1 species